rnacentral:rRNA from 1 species
AUUGAACGCUGGCGGCAUGCCUUACACAUGCAAGUCGAACGGCAGCACGGGGCAACCUGGUGGCGAGUGGCGAACGGGUGAGUAAUGCAUCGGAACGUGCCAUUGAGUGGGGGAUAACGUAGCGAAAGUUGCGCUAAUACCGCAUAUUCUGUGAGCAGGAAAGCAGGGGACCGCAAGGCCUUGCGCUCUUUGAGCGGCCGAUGUCAGAUUAGCUAGUUGGUGAGGUAACGGCUUACCAAGGCGACGAUCUGUAGCGGGUCUGAGAGGAUGAUCCGCCACACUGGAACUGAGACACGGUCCAGACUCCUACGGGAGGCAGCAGUGGGGAAUUUUGGACAAUGGGCGCAAGCCUGAUCCAGCCAUGCCGCGUGAGUGAAGAAGGCCUUCGGGUUGUU